rnacentral:rRNA from 1 species
UCCUGGCCUUAAACGAUGUCCACUAGGUCGAUGUUUCUCUGACGGAAUGUCGGCCGAAAUAAAAACGUUAAGUGGACCGCCUGGGGAGUACGGUCGCAAGGCUAAAACUCAAAGGAAUUGACGGGUGCUCACACAAGCGGUGGAGCAUGUUGCUUAAUUCGAUGCAACGCGAAGAACCUUAUCCUGGGCUUGACAUGUGCGGAUGCCUACUGGGAAACCAGAUCGGCUGCCCUUCGGGGUGAAACGUACACAGGUGCUGCAUGGCUGUCGUCAGCUCGUGUCGUGAGAUGUUGGGUU